CCUACGGGAGGCAGCAGUGAGGAAUCUUGGUCAAUGGGCGGGAGCCUGAACCAGCCAAGUCGCGUGAGGGACGACGGUCCUAUGGAUUGUCAACCUCUUUUGUCGGGGAACAAGGGCGCCCACGGGUGGGCGGAUGAGUGUACCCGAAGAAAAAGCAUAGGCAAACUCCGUGCCAGCAGCCGCGGUAAUCCGGAGGAUACGAGCGUUAUCCGGAUUUAUUGGGUUUAACGGGUGCGGAGGCGGACAGUAAAUUCAACGGGAAAAAUGCGGUGCUGAACGCCGUCCAGCCGUUGAAACUGGCAGUCUUGAGUGGGCGAGAAGUAUGCGGAAUGCGUGGUGUAGCGGUGAAAUGCAUAGAUAUCACGAAGAACUCCGAUGGCGAAGGCAGCAUACCGGCGCCCGACUGACGCUGAGGCACGAAAGCGUGGGUAUCGAACAGGAUUAGAUACCCUUGUAGUC
rnacentral:rRNA from 1 species